rnacentral:rRNA from 1 species
UUAAGCGACUAAGCGUACACGGUGGAUGCCCUGGCAGUCAGAGGCGAUGAAGGACGUGCUAAUCUGCGAAAAGCGUCGGUAAGGUGAUAUGAACCGUUAUAGCCGGCGAUGUCCGAAUGGGGAAACCCAGUGCAAUUCGUUGCACUAUCGUUAACUGAAUACAUAGGUUAACGAGGCGAACCGGGGGAACUGAAACAUCUAAGUACCCCGAGGAAAAGAAAUCAACCGAGAUUCCCCCAGUAGCGGCGAGCGAACGGGGAGCAGCCCAGAGUCUGAAUCAGCUUGUGUGUUAGUGGAACGGUCUGGAAAGUCCGACGGUACAGGGUGAUAGUCCCGUACACCAAAAUGCACAGGUUGUGAACUCGAAGAGUAGGGCGGGACACGUGGUAUCCUGUCUGAAUAUGGGGGGACCAUCCUCCAAGGCUAAAUACUCCUGACUGACCGAUAGUGAACCAGUACCGUGAGGGAAAGGCGAAAAGAACCCCGGCGAGGGGAGUGAAAAAGAACCUGAAACCGUGUACGUACAAGCAGUGGGAGCACCUUCGGGUGUGACUGCGUACCUUUUGUAUAAUGGGUCAGCGACUUAUAUUCUGUAGCAAGGUUAACCGUAUAGGGGAGCCGCAGGGAAACCGAGUCUUAACUGGGCGUUAAGUUGCAGGGUAUAGACCCGAAACCCGGUGAUCUAGCCAUGGGCAGGUUGAAGGUUGGGUAACACUAACUGGAGGACCGAACCGACUAAUGUUGAAAAAUUAGCGGAUGACUUGUGGCUGGGGGUGAAAGGCCAAUCAAACCGGGAGAUAGCUGGUUCUCCCCGAAAGCUAUUUAGGUAGCGCCUCGUGAACUCAUCUUCGGGGGUAGAGCACUGUUUCGGCUAGGGGGUCAUCCCGACUUACCAACCCGAUGCAAACUACGAAUACCGAAGAAUGUUAUCACGGGAGACACACGGCGGGUGCUAACGUCCGUCGUGAAGAGGGAAACAACCCAGACCGCCAGCUAAGGUCCCAAAGUCAUGGUUAAGUGGGAAACGAUGUGGGAAGGCACAGACAGCCAGGAUGUUGGCUUAGAAGCAGCCAUCAUUUAAAGAAAGCGUAAUAGCUCACUGGUCGAGUCGGCCUGCGCGGAAGAUGUAACGGGGCUAAACCAUGCACCGAAGCUGCGGCAGCGACACUAUGUGUUGUUGGGUAGGGGAGCGUUCUGUAAGCCUGCGAAGGUGACCUGUGAGGGUUGCUGGAGGUAUCAGAAGUGCGAAUGCUGACAUAAGUAACGAUAAAGCGGGUGAAAAGCCCGCUCGCCGGAAGACCAAGGGUUCCUGUCCAACGUUAAUCGGGGCAGGGUGAGUCGACCCCUAAGGCGAGGCCGAAAGGCGUAGUCGAUGGGAAACAGGUUAAUAUUCCUGUACUUGGUGUUACUGCGAAGGGGGGACGGAGAAGGCUAUGUUAGCCGGGCGACGGUUGUCCCGGUUUAAGCAUGUAGGCUGGUUGUCCAGGCAAAUCCGGAUAAUCAAGGCUGAGGUGUGAUGACGAGGUACUACGGUGCUGAAGUAACAAAUGCCCUGCUUCCAGGAAAAGCCUCUAAGCAUCAGGUAACAUCAAAUCGUACCCCAAACCGACACAGGUGGUCAGGUAGAGAAUACCAAGGCGCUUGAGAGAACUCGGGUGAAGGAACUAGGCAAAAUGGUGCCGUAACUUCGGGAGAAGGCACGCUGGUGUGUAGGUGAAGUCCCUGCGGAUGGAGCUGAGACCAGUCGAAGAUACCAGCUGGCUGCAACUGUUUAUUAAAAACACAGCACUGUGCAAACACGAAAGUGGACGUAUACGGUGUGACGCCUGCCCGGUGCCGGAAGGUUAAUUGAUGGGGUUAUCCGUAAGGAGAAGCUCUUGAUCGAAGCCCCGGUAAACGGCGGCCGUAACUAUAACGGUCCUAAGGUAGCGAAAUUCCUUGUCGGGUAAGUUCCGACCUGCACGAAUGGCGUAAUGAUGGCCAGGCUGUCUCCACCCGAGACUCAGUGAAAUUGAACUCGCUGUGAAGAUGCAGUGUACCCGCGGCAAGACGGAAAGACCCCGUGAACCUUUACUAUAGCUUGACACUGAACAUUGAGCCUUGAUGUGUAGGAUAGGUGGGAGGCUUUGAAGCGUGGACGCCAGUCUGCGUGGAGCCAACCUUGAAAUACCACCCUUUAAUGUUUGAUGUUCUAACGUUGGCCCCUGACCGGGGUUGCGGACAGUGUCUGGUGGGUAGUUUGACUGGGGCGGUCUCCUCCCAAAGCGUAACGGAGGAGCACGAAGGUUAGCUAAUCCUGGUCGGACAUCAGGAGGUUAGUGCAAUGGCAUAAGCUAGCUUGACUGCGAGCGUGACGGCGCGAGCAGGUGCGAAAGCAGGUCAUAGUGAUCCGGUGGUUCUGAAUGGAAGGGCCAUCGCUCAACGGAUAAAAGGUACUCCGGGGAUAACAGGCUGAUACCGCCCAAGAGUUCAUAUCGACGGCGGUGUUUGGCACCUCGAUGUCGGCUCAUCACAUCCUGGGGCUGAAGUAGGUCCCAAGGGUAUGGCUGUUCGCCAUUUAAAGUGGUACGCGAGCUGGGUUUAGAACGUCGUGAGACAGUUCGGUCCCUAUCUGCCGUGGGCGCUGGAGAAUUGAGGGGGGCUGCUCCUAGUACGAGAGGACCGGAGUGGACGCAUCACUGGUGUUCGGGUUGUCAUGCCAAUGGCACUGCCCGGUAGCUAAAUGCGGAAGAGAUAAGUGCUGAAAGCAUCUAAGCACGAAACUUGCCCCGAGAUGAGUUCUCCCUGAGACUUUAAGUCUCCUGAAGGAACGUUAAAGACGAUGACGUUGAUAGGCCGGGUGUGUAAGCGCAGCGAUGCGUUGAGCUAACCGGUACUAAUGAACCGUGAGGCUUAACCU